GGGCUUGUAGCUCAGCGGACUAGAGUGUGUGUUUCCGAAACACAAGGUCGAGGGUUCAACUCCCUCCUUGCCCU
rnacentral:tRNA from 1 species